rnacentral:rRNA from 1 species
GUCAUUUAGAGGAAGUAAAAGUCGUAACAAGGUUUCCGUAGGUGAACCUGCGGAAGGAUCAUUAAAGAGUAAGGGUGCUCAGCGCCCGACCUCCAACCCUUUGUUGUUAAAACUACCUUGUUGCUUUGGCGGGACCGCUCGGUCUCGAGCCGCUGGGGAUUCGUCCCAGGCGAGCGCCCGCCAGAGUUAAACCAAACUCUUGUUAUUUAACCGGUCGUCUGAGUUAAAAUUUUGAAUAAAUCAAAACUUUCAACAACGGAUCUCUUGGUUCUCGCAUCGAUGAAGAACGCAGCGAAAUGCGAUAAGUAAUGUGAAUUGCAGAAUUCAGUGAAUCAUCGAAUCUUUGAACGCACAUUGCGCCCCUUGGUAUUCCGAGGGGCAUGCCUGUUCGAGCGUCAUUACACCACUCAAGCUAUGCUUGGUAUUGGGCGUCGUCCUUAGUUGGGCGCGCCUUAAAGACCUCGGCGAGGCCACUCCGGCUUUAGGCGUAGUAGAAUUUAUUCGAACGUCUGUCAAAGGAGAGGAACUCUGCCGACUGAAACCUUUAUUUUUCUAGGUUGACCUCGGAUCAGGUAGGGAUACCCGCUGAACUUAAGCAUAUCAAUA